rnacentral:SRP_RNA from 1 species
GCCGGGCAUGGUGGCUCAUGCCUGUAAUCCUAGCAUUUUGGGAGGCCGAGGCAGGUGGAUCACCUGAGGUCAGGAGUUUGAGACCAGCCUGGCCAAUAUGGUGAAACCCCGUCUCUA